GUCUGUCUAGCUGAUGAUCCUAACUAGGGCUUAUUUUCAGAGUGGAGCUUGUAUUACCAGCACCCUGAAAAAUCACGCUAGGCAUUAUUUCCUGGUUAGGGCUUAUUUCGGGGAAAUACAGUGGAUGUCCUGUUCCGAAAUUGCGCUAAAUCUUAGAUAAAGACCUGGACUCUUCCUACAGGACGUUACUAACUACAAUGGACCCCAAACUUUGUGGGAGUUAUGGUCCUGGAGCACCCACAAAUUGUGAAAAUUGAAUUUAAAAUUUGGUCAAAAAUGCCUAUAAAUGUCUAUCUUUAUAGUUUAAACCUUAAAUAUUCUAUGUUUCCUCCAGUUAUGUAACAUAAUUUAAUAAAAUACAUUUAAUUUAAUACACGAAGCCUUAAAAGGUGUGGGGCGUUUCGGCGGCAUUUUAGGGCUUUAAGAAGAACAGAACCAAGGACACUGGAGACAGCUACACCCAGAUGGGGCAGCAGCCAAUAAGCAGAAAGGAGAGCUGAAUGGCGCUCUCGGAUUGGCUACUUGCAGACCUCCUGCUGAAAAACAACUGCACUGCAGAGGAUAUUUGCGAUUUCUGACAAUUACUAGUUAGGUUCUAAGGAAAAAUCCGAACCCGAGUGAGGCCAAGAACUCUGAACCACCACUUCGUGGAGGUAUAAUGUAUUUGGAAAGGAAAAAAAACAAAAACAAAAAAACCCCAAAACAAGUAAAGCGCGUGGGAACCUGUCGGAGAUUAAUUAACAUGUGAUUUAUUAAUUUCCUCAUUCAGUUGCACCCAGCGCCAGGCGCUGUGCAGGAUGCUGUUAUAAACACAAAUCGUCCCUUCCUUCAAGAGCUUGUCUGACUACUAAAAUUAGACCAGAGAGGGAAUAUUAUAAAUGCAGAGCAGGGCUCAGAGUGAGAAAAAAAUCGACAAAGGCUUGAGUUUGUGUACGGCCAGGACUGGACCUGGCCCCGGGGAAGGUGUGGGAUUGAGAGGAGAGAAAGAAGAAAGGACUUCCAGGGACCGGAAGACCUGGUGCUGGAAAGGGCGAAUGGAAGAUCACUCUGGAAGGCCUCGGAGAUCCGAGCUUAACUCCAAGGAGGGGCUGCCGAUGCCUUCCCUGUUUUUCAAUAAAAACUGGGCCAUAAUUCCCACCGCAUUACAGCACCAUCUCACAGUGCAAGACUCGGCGCUUUUUCAUGUAUUCUCCAAGUUACACAGCCCCCGCCACCAUCCGACUCGAGUGGGCGAGAGCCGCCCCUUCGGAGCAUUUUGGAGCAGAGAGGCGCAGACGAAGCUAAUCCACGCAGGUUUCCUCGCGGAGUUGUUUCGGGGCCCAGAGGAUUCCGGGUCCAGGGCAGUGACAGUGAGCGCAGCAGUUCCACGUAGACAAGACCAGAAAGUGGCUCUCCGGAACCUUGCCGGGCCUCGCCGCCCCGGGGUGGGGGGAGCCUCGAGAGGAGGCCUCGCAGCCGCACUGGGCAGGAGGCACAGUGGGACUCGGCCGUCUCACCGGGCGGCUCUCGGGACUGGACUAUUGACCAGGGGCAAAGCCCUGAGAGCACCGCUGGGACGCAAGCGCUUGUUGUGAUUCAAGGAGGAGAAGGAAGGUGGCACUGCGGCGGGCGGUGGAGCCUCACCCUACAAGAAAGGAGAACGCGCGGGAGAAUCCAGGACAGGGAGAGCUGUAUGAGAAUCGAACAAAACUAGAAACACAGGAGUACUAAGGAUGAUGACUUUUUAAAUAUUUUAACUGAUGGAAAUGUACAUACAGCAUGCAACAUGUCUCUUGAUAAUGUGCAUGCACUGGAAAGGCCAACGCAAGCGAAUGAACAUAUUCAUUGCCUCACAUGUCUGCCUUUUCUGUGAGUAGAACAUUCAGUCUCUAUUAGCAGUUCUCAGGCAUACAGUAUUUUCAUUUUUACGGUGCUAGGGAUGGAACCUAGGGCCUUGUACAUGCUAAACGCUGUACCCUGAGCUUCACCCCCAACCCAAUGCUGCAUUUGUACUAACUGUAGUCAUUGCUCCCUGAUCUCAUUCCAUCUGUUUAACUAAAGUUGUGUACCCCUUUUCAGCCUCUCCUUAAUCCUCCCUUCUCCAGCCCCAAAUAACCUCCAUUUUUCUGUCUCUCUGAGCUCAGUGUUCUUUAGGCUUCAGGUGUGAAUGAGAUGUUUGUCUUUCUGUGCUGACUUAUGAGUAUGGUGUCCCCAGCCUUGGCCACAUAGUCAAAUGGCAGGGCG
ensembl:lincRNA